rnacentral:rRNA from 1 species
AUGAACGCUGGCGGCGUGCCUAAUACAUGCAAGUCGAGCGAACAGAUAAGGAGCUUGCUCCUUUGACGUUAGCGGCGGACGGGUGAGUAACACGUGGGUAACCUACCUAUAAGACCGGAAUAACUCCGGGAAACCGGGGCUAAUGCCGGAUAACAUUUAGAACCGCAUGGUUCUAAAGUGAAAGAUGGUUUUGCUAUCACUUAUAGAUGGACCCGCGCCGUAUUAGCUAGUUGGUAAGGUAACGGCUUACCAAGGCAACGAUACGUAGCCGACCUGAGAGGGUGAUCGGCCACACUGGAACUGAGACACGGUCCAGACUCCUACGGGAGGCAGCAGUAGGGAAUCUUCCGCAAUGGGCGAAAGCCUGACGGAGCAACGCCGCGUGAGUGAUGAAGGUCUUCGGAUCGUAAAACUCUGUUAUUAGGGAAGAACAAAUGUGUAAGUAACUGUGCACGUCUUGACGGUACCUAAUCAGAAAGCCACGGCUAACUACGUG